rnacentral:rRNA from 1 species
ACUGAACGCUGGCGGCAUGCCUUACACAUGCAAGUCGAACGGUAACAGGUUAAGCUGACGAGUGGCGAACGGGUGAGUAAUGUAUCGGAACGUGCCCAGUCGUGGGGGAUAACUACUCGAAAGAGUGGCUAAUACCGCAUACGACCUGAGGGUGAAAGCGGGGGACCGUAAGGCCUCGCGCGAUUGGAGCGGCCGAUAUCAGAUUAGCUAGUUGGUGGGGUAAAAGCCCACCAAGGCGACGAUCUGUAGCUGGUCUGAGAGGACGACCAGCCACACUGGGACUGAGACACGGCCCAGACUCCUACGGGAGGCAGCAGUGGGGAAUUUUGGACAAUGGACGCAAGUCUGAUCCAGCCAUGCCGCGUGCGGGAAGAAGGCCUUCGGGUUGUAAACCGCUUUUGGCAGGGAAGAAACGAGUUUCUCUAAUACAGAGACUUAAUGACGGUACCUGAAGAAUAAGCACCGGCUAACUACGUGCCAGCCGCCGCAGUAACAC